rnacentral:rRNA from 1 species
AUUACUGGGCGUAAGCGUGCGUAGGCGGUUAUUUAAGUCAGAUGUGAAAGCCCCGGGCUUAACCUGGGAACUGCAUUUGAUACUGGGUAACUAGAGUUUAAUAGAGGAGAGUGGAAUUUCAGGUGUAGCGGUGAAAUGCGUAGAGAUCUGAAGGAACACCAGUGGCGAAGGCGACUCUCUGGAUUAAAACUGACGCUGAGGUACGAAAGCGUGGGUAGCAAACAGGAUUAGAUACCCUGGUAGUCCACGCCGUAAACGAUGUCAACUAGCCGUUGGGCCUUUUAACAGGCUUAGUGGCGCAGCUAACGCAUUAAGUUGACCGCCUGGGGAGUACGGCCGCAAGGUUAAAACUCAAAUGAAUUGACGGGGGCCCGCACAAGCGGUGGAGCAUGUGGUUUAAUUCGAUGCAACGCGAAGAACCUUACCUACCCUUGAC